GAUGAACGCUAGCUACAGGCUUAACACAUGCAAGUCGAGGGGCAGCAUGAACUUAGCUUGCUAAGUUUGAUGGCGACCGGCGCACGGGUGAGUAACACGUAUCCAACCUUCCGUUUACUCAGGGAUAGCCUUUCGAAAGAAAGAUUAAUACCUGAUAGUAUGGUGAGAUUGCAUGAUAACACCAUUAAAGAUUUAUUGGUAAACGAUGGGGAUGCGUUCCAUUAGGUAGUAGGCGGGGUAACGGCCCACCUAGCCUGCGAUGGAUAGGGGUUCUGAGAGGAAGGUCCCCCACAUUGGAACUGAGACACGGUCCAAACUCCUACGGGAGGCAGCAGUGAGGAAUAUUGGUCAAUGGGCGAGAGCCUGAACCAGCCAAGUAGCGUGAAGGAUGACGGCCCUAUGGGUUGU
rnacentral:rRNA from 1 species